GAUGAACGCGGCGGCGUGCCUAAUACAUGCAAGUAGAACGCUGAAGCUUGGUGCUUGCACCGAGCGGAAGAGUUGCGAACGGGUGAGUAACGCGUAGGUAACCUGCCUCUUAGCGGGGGAUAACUAUUGGAAACGAUAGCUAAUACCGCAUAAAAGUCGGCAUUGCAUGAUGUUGACUUGAAAGGUGCAACUGCAUCACUAAGAGAUGGACCUGCGUUGUAUUAGCUAGUUGGUGAGGUAACGGCUCACCAAGGCGACGAUACAUAGCCGACCUGAGAGGGUGAUCGGCCACACUGGGACUGAGACACGGCCCAGACUCCUACGGGAGGCAGCAGUAGGGAAUCUUCGGCAAUGGACGGAAGUCUGACCGAGCAACGCCGCGUGAGUGAAGAAGGUUUUCGGAUCGUAAAGCUCUGUUGUAAGAGAAGAACGAGUGUGAGAGUGGAAAGUUCACACUGUGACGGUAACUUACCAGAAAGGGACGGCUAACUACGUGCCAGCAGCCGCGGUAAUACGUAGGUCCCGAGCGUUAUCCGGAUUUAUUGGGCGUAAAGCGAGCGCAGGCGGUUAGAUAAGUCUGAAGUUAAAGGCUGUGGCUUAACCAUAGUACGCUUUGGAAACUGUUUAACUUGAGUGCAGAAGGGGAAAGUGGAAUUCCAUGUGUAGCGGUGAAAUGCGUAGAUAUAUGGAGGAACACCGGUGGCGAAAGCGGCUCUCUGGUCUGUAACUGACGCUGAGGCUCGAAAGCGUGGGGAGCAAACAGG
rnacentral:rRNA from 1 species